rnacentral:sRNA from 1 species
AUGGGGAAAGAGAGAGGGUGCUCCGAGGGGGUUGUGGGAGGUACAGGUUCCCUGUGGCACCUCCGACUUUUUCUACCUAUGGUACCCAAGGAAUGUCACGGCCCAGAGUCAUUUAGAUUUAAAGGUCUGGAGCUGCCAUACCUUGAGAAAUGAACUGCUAGGCACCGCAUCUGUCAACCUCUCCAACGUCUUGAAGAACAAUGGGGGCAAAAUGGAGAACACGCAGCUGACCCUGAACCUGCAGACGGAGAACAAAGGCAGCGUUGUCUCAGGCGGAGAGCUGACAAUUUUCCUGGACGGGCCGACUGUUGAUCUGGGAAAUGUGCCUAAUGGCAGUGCCCUGACAGAUGGAUCACAGCUGCCUUCGAGAGACUCCAGUGGAACAGCAGUAGCUCCAGAGAACCGGCACCAGCCCCCCAGCACAAACUGCUUUGGUGGAAGAUCCCGGACGCACAGACAUUCGGGUGCUUCAGCCAGAACAACCCCAGCAACCGGCGAGCAAAGCCCCGGUGCUCGGAGCCGGCACCGCCAGCCCGUCAAGAACUCAGGCCACAGUGGCUUGGCCAAUGGCACAGUGAAUGAUGAACCCACAACAGCCACUGAUCCCGAAGAGCCUUCCGUUGUUGGUGUGACGUCCCCACCUGCUGCACCCUUGAGUGUGACCCCGAAUCCCAACACGACUUCUCUCCCUGCCCCAGCCACACCGGCUGAAGGAGAGGAACCCAGCACUUCGGGUACACAGCAGCUCCCAGCGGCUGCCCAGGCCCCCGACGCUCUGCCUGCUGGAUGGGAACAGCGAGAGCUGCCCAACGGACGUGUCUAUUAUGUUGACCACAAUACCAAGACCACCACCUGGGAGCGGCCCCUUCCUCCAGGCUGGGAAAAACGCACAGAUCCCCGAGGCAGGUUUUACUAUGUGGAUCACAAUACUCGGACCACCACCUGGCAGCGUCCGACCGCGGAGUACGUGCGCAACUAUGAGCAGUGGCAGUCGCAGCGGAAUCAGCUCCAGGGGGCCAUGCAGCACUUCAGCCAAAGAUUCCUCUACCAGUCUUCGAGUGCUUCGACUGACCAUGAUCCCCUGGGCCCCCUCCCUCCUGGCUGGGAGAAGAGACAGGACAAUGGACGGGUGUAUUACGUGAACCAUAACACUCGCACGACCCAGUGGGAGGAUCCCCGGACCCAGGGGAUGAUCCAGGAACCAGCUCUGCCCCCAGGAUGGGAGAUGAAAUACACCAGCGAGGGGGUGCGAUACUUUGUGGACCACAAUACCCGCACCACCACCUUUAAGGAUCCUCGCCCGGGGUUUGAGUCGGGGACGAAGCAAGGUUCCCCUGGUGCUUAUGACCGCAGUUUUCGGUGGAAGUAUCACCAGUUCCGUUUCCUCUGCCAUUCAAAUGCCCUACCUAGCCACGUGAAGAUCAGCGUUUCCAGGCAGACGCUUUUCGAAGAUUCCUUCCAACAGAUCAUGAACAUGAAACCCUAUGACCUGCGCCGCCGGCUCUACAUCAUCAUGCGUGGCGAGGAGGGCCUGGACUAUGGGGGCAUCGCCAGAGAGUGGUUUUUCCUCCUGUCUCACGAGGUGCUCAACCCUAUGUAUUGUUUAUUUGAAUAUGCCGGAAAGAACAAUUACUGCCUGCAGAUCAACCCCGCCUCCUCCAUCAACCCGGACCACCUCACCUACUUUCGCUUUAUAGGCAGAUUCAUCGCCAUGGCGCUGUACCAUGGAAAGUUCAUCGACACGGGCUUCACCCUCCCUUUCUACAAGCGGAUGCUCAAUAAGAGACCAACCCUGAAAGACCUGGAGUCCAUUGACCCUGAGUUCUACAACUCCAUUGUCUGGAUCAAAGAGAACAACCUGGAAGAAUGUGGCCUGGAGCUGUACUUCAUCCAGGACAUGGAGAUACUGGGCAAGGUGACGACCCACGAGCUGAAGGAGGGCGGCGAGAGCAUCCGGGUCACGGAGGAGAACAAGGAAGAGUACAUCAUGCUGCUGACUGACUGGCGUUUCACCCGAGGCGUGGAAGAGCAGACCAAAGCCUUCCUGGAUGGCUUCAACGAGGUGGCCCCGCUGGAGUGGCUGCGCUACUUUGACGAGAAAGAGCUGGAGCUGAUGCUGUGCGGCAUGCAGGAGAUAGACAUGAGCGACUGGCAGAAGAGCACCAUCUACCGGCACUACACCAAGAACAGCAAGCAGAUCCAGUGGUUCUGGCAGGUGGUGAAGGAGAUGGACAACGAGAAGAGGAUCCGGCUGCUGCAGUUUGUCACUGGUACCUGCCGCCUGCCCGUCGGGGGAUUUGCCGAACUCAUCGGUAGCAACGGACCACAGAAGUUUUGCAUUGACAAAGUUGGCAAGGAAACCUGGCUGCCCAGAAGCCACACCUGCUUCAACCGUCUGGAUCUUCCACCCUACAAGAGCUAUGAACAGCUGAGAGAGAAGCUGCUGUUUGCCAUUGAGGAGACCGAGGGCUUUGGACAGGAGUAACCGAGGCCGCCCCUCCCACGCCCCCCAGCGCACAUGUAGUCCUGAGUCCUCCCUGCCUGAGAGGCCACUGGCCCCGCAGCCCUUGGGAGGCCCCCGUGGAUGUGGCCCUGUGUGGGACCACACUGUCAUCUCGCUGCUGGCAAAAAAGCCUGAUCCCAGGAGGCCCUGCAGUUCCCCCGACCCGCGGAUGGCAGUCUGGAAUAAAGCCCCCUAGUUGCCUUUGGCCCCACCUUUGCAA